rnacentral:rRNA from 1 species
UACAGGGGUGCAAACGUUGCUCGGAAUCAUUGGGCGUAAAGCGCACGUAGGCGGUUCGUUAUGUCGGAUGUGAAAGCCCUUGGCUUAACCGAGGAAGUGCAUCCGAAACUGGCGAGCUAGAGUACUAAAGAGGAUCGCGGAAUUCCCGGUGUAGAGGUGAAAUUCGUAGAUAUUGGGAAGAACACCGGUGGCGAAGGCGGCUCUCUGGACCGUAACUGACGCUGAGGCGCGAAAGCGUGGGGAGCAAACAGG